CCGAGUUUACAACUCCCAACCCAAUGUGAACGUUACCAAACUGUUGCCUCGGCGGGGUCACGCCCCGGGUGCGUAAAAGCCCCGGAACCAGGCGCCCGCCGGAGGAACCAACCAAACUCUUUCUGUAGUCCCCUCGCGGACGUAUUUCUUACAGCUCUGAGCAAAAAUUCAAAAUGAAUCA
rnacentral:misc_RNA from 1 species